rnacentral:rRNA from 1 species
GCAAUAGCUGAUUGCAUUUAAUUUAAUGUAGUUACUACUUGGUACUUUAAAGUUCUAGGUAGAAUUAUGAUGAUGACAUUAUCUAUCUAUUAGUCUUGACCAAAUUACGUGCCAGCAGUCGCGGUAAUACGUAGAAGACAAGUGUUAUUCAUCUUUAUUAGGUUUAAAGGGUACCAAGACGGUUAAUAAAGCCCAAAAUAAAUGAAUACGGGGGACACAUUAACUAGAGUUAUAUGAAAGGAAGCUCUAAGGUACUGUUGAGUGUAGAGAUGAAAUUUUAUGAUACCAGAUGAUUGGCACAGAUUAAUGCGAAGGCAUCUUCUUAUGUAAUAACUGACGUUGUAGGACGAAGGCUUAGAAAGUGAACAGGAUUAGGUACCCCAGUAACCUAGGCAGAAAAUGAUGAAUGUCAUAGGCUGGUAUGAUCAGUCUAUAAAUGAAAGUGUAAGCAUUCCACCUCAAGAGUAAUUUGGCAACAUUGGAACUGAAAUCAUUAGACCGUUUCUGAAACCAGUAGUGAAGUAUGUUGUUUAAUUAGAUGAUACACAAAAACCUUACCACAAUUUGAAUAUAUAUAAAUUAUAUUUACAAGCGCUGCACGGCUGUCUACAGUUAAUGUCGUGAGACUUUGGUUAACUACUAUAAAUUAACGAAAACCCUAAUUUUAUUUAUAAAUAUAAU